ACAGGUGUCGUUCUCUCGGACAUUACGCGUUUCGUGAAGUCCGGAGUGUCCGAUCAGAGUUACUCCCAUUCCGGCGUGUCGGAGUCUCUGCUCUUCUCUGCUUCUUCCCUCAUCUCUGCUUCUCUUCAUCUUAAAGUUGUUUCCGGAGAGUAGGAGACGCCUGAGCUCUACAGAAAGCACCGUCACAACGAGCCGACGGUAAGGUUUCUGUUUCUCUCUCCCCUUUCAUGUCUCCUUCUUCCGGCCGGAGUUCACUGCGUUUUUCUUUUCAUCUCUCUCUCACUAUGGCUACAUUUUGGGCAAUGUUACUGUACACCGACUCCGAAACCGGUUUUACGAACAGGAAAAUUUCCGGGCUUGAAUAUGUUGCUCCCUCAAGAAGUAAAUGAGAAAGGAGGAGGAGAUAAUAAUGAAGGUGAACUUCAGUUUAAUUGGGGUCGCAAAACGGGAGUUCAGUAUUACUUGUCAUUCACCUACAAUGGCGUUCACUAUUCUCUCUAUGACUGCGUGUAUAUGCGGCGGUGCGAUGAUGAGCCUGAGCCUGGCAUUGGCAAGCUCGUAAAGAUGUUUGAAACCGCGACUGGCAUUAAGAAAGUUAAGGUUGUCUGGUUUUUCAGACCAGCCGAGGUACAAAACUUGUUAGGCGACAUCAGAAUUCUCCCAAAUGAGUUGUUCUUGGCUUCUGGAGAGGGGAAAGGGGUUUUCAGUUUGAAUCUGUUGGAAAACAUAUGUGGAAAAUGCUCUGUAAUCUGCAUAUCAAAAGACAGGAGAAAUCCUCAGCCAACAAAAGAAGAGUCAAGAAAAGCCAAAUAUGUUUUCUUCCGUGCAUUUGAUGUUAAAACUUGCAGAAUAUCAAAGAUCUUUCCAGAUGUUAUUGCAGAAGUUGAAGUGAAGAACUACUUUAAUCAAAGGAAAGAUUCAGGUGCAUCUGAUACAUCCCCGCUAAGUAUGAGGAAGAUUGAAAAUAUUUCCCUGCUAAAGAAGAAGAAGCGUGAAAGUGCCCUUGAUACUUCCUUACCAAAGAAGAUGAAGGUUGAAAAGCAUUCAGGUGUAUCUGAUAAAUCCCCGCUAAGUAUGAGGAAGAUUGAAAGUAUUUCCCCGCUAAAGAAGAAGAAGCGUGAAAGUGCCCUUGAUACUUCCUCACCAAAGAAAAUGAAGGUUGAAAAGCAUUCAGGACCUUCGUCUCGACCAAAAACUAGCCAAGGAAAAGAUUCAGUUGGAAUGGGAGUGAAUUUGGACCGCAAAGUCAGUAAGUUUGCUGCAAGAGCUGAUCAUACGGAAAAGAAGAAGGGCGUGAUAACUAAUUCUCAAACGACAGGAGUUGCAAGAAGACCAGAUGAGGACUCAAUCGAAUGGUUCACGGAACAACCUUGGGAGAUAAAAAUGCCUAUGGCUCAAGAAAAUGGAACACUCGUUUUACUUGAGAACCUCGAUCCUUCAUUCAAUUCAAAAGAUGUGGAGGACAUUCUUUGGCAUGUGUUCAAGAUGAAGGUUAGCGCAAAGAUAGAACGCAGCACCUUCUCUACUCCGCACUCUGCAGGGAAAGCUCUUGCCAUAUUCAAAUCGAAGGAAGCUGCAGAAUCUGUUAUUUCUGACUUAAAGACGAGGUGUCUUGUGCUAGGUGAUGGAAGGCCAUUAAUUGCUCAAACUGGAGUUCAUAAGAAGCCAAGUAAUCCAAGUGUUUUUGUUGGCCACCUUACAAUUGGCAAAACAAGGCCUCAAAGGCAACGGCCAGAGAUGAGAAUGGCACUGUCGACAUCCCACCACUCUCAGAGCAAUACAAUUGAAUAUGAGAUGGCCAUCGAAUGGUUUGUACUACAACAACAAUCAGACAGAUGGUGGAAAACAUUAUACGAGGUAAUUAUCGAAGUUCUAGGAUUUGUCCUUUCUUACCUUGUUUACCCUGCAAAGCCUCUCCCUUCUUCAUCAGUGAUAAAAAUAACGUUCUUGUGUGAUUCACUUUCCUGGUUCUAAGAAACACGCAAAGGAGAUUGCUGAGCUUAAGAACAAAGUCAAGAUCCCAUCGUGAACAAUGUGAUAUGAGAGGAUCGAAUGUCAGUUUCCUAGUUCAAAUUUCACGAAACACUUUUUGUUUGGCAUACAUUGGAAAUGGCUGCACCAGUUACAGAAUGGUAUAGUGGUAUAUAUACCUAGUUUCAUAGGAGGGAAG